GAUGAACGCUGGCGGCGUGCCUAAUACAUGCAAGUCGAGCGAACAGAUAAUGCUCUUGCUGCUUUGACGUUAGCGGCGCACGUGUGAGUAACACGUGUGUAACCUACCUAUAAGACUGGUAUCACUCCGGGAAACCGGGGCUAAUGCCGUAUAACAUUUAGAACCGCAUGGUUCUAAAGUGAAAUAUGGUUGUUCUAUCACGUAUCGAUGGACCCGCGCCGUAUUAGCUGGUUGUUAAGGUCACGGCUUACCAAGGCAACGAUACGUAGCCGAAGUGAGAGACGGAUAGGCCACACUAGAGCGGAGACACGGUCAAGACUACUAAGGGACGCAGCAGUCGGGAACGUUCAGCAACAGGCGAAAGCAUGACGGAGUAACGCCAAGUGAGUGAUGACGGUCCUCGGAUCGGAAAAACCUGCUAUGAGGGAAAAACAAAUGUGUACGUAAACGUGCACGUAGUGACGGUAAAUAAUCAGAAAGCAACGGCUAACUACGUG
rnacentral:rRNA from 1 species